rnacentral:rRNA from 1 species
UACAGAGGUCUCAAGCGUUGUUCGGAUUCAUUGGGCGUAAAGGGUGCGUAGGCGGCGCGGUAAGUCGGGUGUGAAAUCUCGGAGCUUAACUCCGAAACUGCAUUCGAUACUGCCGUGCUUGAGGACUGGAGAGGAGACUGGAAUUUACGGUGUAAGCGGUGAAAUGCGUAGAUAUCGUAAGGAAGACCAGUGGCGAAGGCGGGUCUCUGGACAGUUCCUGACGCUGAGGCACGAAGGCCAGGGGAGCAAACGGG